ACGGAAGCUUGGCGAGGCCAAGACCCAGCCGGAAGAGAAGGCUAGAUCUCCCGACCCAAGCUCCUAGCACGGAUACCGAGCACCCACGCGGAGCACAUGCCGCGGAAUAGGCAAAAGUGUUGCGGACCUGCGUAGUUUCGAAAAGCGGACGGCCACGACGGCCCUUUGGGUGGGGUUGCAGCCGUAGCGCAUCGCAAAGACGCCGAGGUCACCCACGCAACCCACAUCGCACGCUUGGUCACUCGGGGUCCGUGCUAGCGGGCGGCGAACCGGACAUUGUCCGGGACGCCGCCCGAUUUCUUUU
rnacentral:ncRNA from 20 species